CUGGACCAGCGAACAGCGCGAUGUGGUACUGGUGCAGCUCGUUUGGUGCAUUUGCAAGAUCACGUGACCAAAGUGGUGGACAGCUUGUCCACACAAAACUGUUCAGCUAUUCAUUAAUCAAAAGCAGGGUUGGUCCAUCGGUGACGACCCAGGUCGAAGCGACGACUGCUGCUCCUCUGUCCAGCUCGUCUUCUUCCUCGGGGUCGAGACUGAGCGACCAAGAUCCAAGCGACGCCUGCUGCUCUUCUCUACACCUCCUCUUCUUCCUCCGGAUCGAGAGCUUGGAUAGGGCUCCAUGGACCUGUUCGUGUCGCCGGAGGGCGAUUCAGAAAAGAGGAUUAGCCAUGGGCAGAUGGAGGGUGUUGCUGUUGCGCGCCCUAUAGAGUCCCAGGCAUCUAUCAGCGUCGCCGAGGGCGACAUCCGCCGUGCCGGAGACCUCUACAGCAGCGGCGGAAAUGCUGGAUCUGUCGGCGAGGGUCCGCUUUUGCAAGUGUGCUCAGAGGCUACCAGCGGGUGGACACGCAGAGUAAGGAUAAGGAAAGCCCCUGCGGAGCGAGAGCUAAAUCCUAACCAGAAAAGUGCUCUUGAACUAUCGAUGAGGGCGUUCAUAAGUAAAUGAGAUGGCAAUGUAGUCAACCCAGCAGUCGGCACUUCAUUUGAUUCACUGGAUGAGACGUAUCAAUUCUACAAUUUGUAUUCGUGGGAGGUUGGAUUUGGCAUAAGGUAUUCGAAAAGCAGGCUAAAUGUGGAGAGGGUGAAGUGCAUGCAGGAGAUUGUAUGUGGAUGCGCGGGUAAACCGGAGAGGGAGAAUACAAGAUCAACUAGGUGCGGCUGUGCUGCCAGGAUUAGGCUACUGAGGUCGGAUGACAAUGGAUGGUAUAUUUCAGAACACAUGCCUCGCUCGGAUCGCCUCGUACCCAGCCGCCGCCUCCAACGUAGCCAACCGCCGCCUCCCCAAAACUAGGGUUCUUUGCCUCCCACCGGCGCCGGUGCCGGUCCGUCCCGUCUCCGGUGGCCUUAGGGCCAUGGAGGCGGAGUGGAUCUCGGCCCAUGCCGGUGGGAGGGUUCCGCUUUCAUAUUUUUUUUCGAGCUUUGUUGGGGUUUAUGUCCUGUUCAGGAAGGCGAGACGGCGGCGGCUCCCUGAAGAUGGAAUAAAGGUCUCCCCGUCUAGUCCCCGUUCCGGUGAUGUGUGUAGCAUCAUCGGUGGGCGUGUGGAGAUGUGUCUCCGGCGGAUCUGUCUUUGGUGGAUUUGCUCGGAUCUGUUCGUCGUUCGUCUUCG